GUUGAAUAUUAUUUUAAUGGGAAUUUCUGAUAGAUUUAUGUGAACCCAACUCAGUUAUACGACUCAUCGUGAUUCGAAGAGGCUGAUUGUUCACUUUGAUAUCAUUGGAAUCCACACGUCUUUGUUCAUUCCACAGUCAAAUUUUAAAGCUCAUCAACUCAGUAAAUAAUGAACAACAAAGCUAGGCAUGGGCCGCAUGGCAAAGUCAUCCAACCCGCUCUUCUUGGUGGUAGGCAAGUACAAAUCAUGCAUCACAUCCACAGAUUCGACCCUUCAUUAUGUUGCCAC